rnacentral:lncRNA from 1 species
CAAGACAAAUGGUAACUCAAUGAAGGACAAGGAAGCUUGCAAAAGUAAAGGGAUACUGUAGCAGAAAUGCUAAGUCACAGCUUGAAAAGGUGAUUGAGCACCUGGUAGGAAGGCAGGGCCAACCUGGGGGAGCUCAGGUGUAUGCAAUGCACUGGAGUAACUGGAAGGGGAGAAGCCAGGAUCCACCCCUUCCCACGCCUCAUUUAGGGGUUGGCAGUGAAGGUGAGAAUAUUUUGCUGGAGAACUCUGCAAACCUGAGGCCUUCUAAAGGAACUGUUUUCCAGACAGAUGGAAAAAUAAAGACGACUUUGACCCAAUCUAACCAUCUUUCACGUUGGAUGACAAGGUUCAGGACACCUCCUAUAAGCUCAGGUAUGCUACGUACGAACUCCUAUCUUUGCUAAAAUUGAGACCUCAAAGAUUUGGUAUUUAACUUCUGCAUCCC